UUUUCUUUGUCGGGCGCGGUGUAGUUUCCCCUUUUCAUCUGGGAGCAGAGAGCGAGAAGGAGGAACAGGCGCUCGUGGACGCGAUUUUGUCUGUUCAUGUCGAUUCCGAGUUUCCCCACCGCUCGAGCUUGAUUUCCCCUCCCUUUCUCUUCGAUCCACGGUUGCCGCGGUUGGUUAUUCUCGUCUUUCUCCCUCCCCCAUCUGAUUUUUGCUUGUUUAUACCUGUGUAGCUUCCAGAUCUGGGUGAGUCUUUUGUUAGGAUUCAUCGUAGGUGUAUGUUGCUGCCGUUUUGUUUGUGUUUUUUUUGCUCUUUGUAGUUUUAGCGGUUGGUUCUGAUUCGUGGCAUGAGUAGUCCGGCAUUUCUCCCCCUGUACUCGCCUGUGAUGUAUGGUUUCUUCUGUUAGUACUAGUCAAUUGGUGUAGGCGCUGGUGGGUGGCUCGAUUUUGUAGGUUGGUUUAGAUCUAGGUCAUGAGAUGGGUGUUUUUGUGGUUAGGGUUGGUGAUUUGCGCUAGUAGGUGGUCUCUGUAUUGGUCUUUUUGCUCUUGUUGUUCCUGAACCCUCUUGAGUUUUUGUUGUAGAUGUAUGGCUUUUGGUAGGUUAGAUGUAGGUGUUAGUUCCCUUGUUUAGGGUCUUCUCAGUGCAUCGUAUUUAGUGAGUUAGCUCUGCUUUCCAUGGUUAGUAUGUUGUUCUGCUGCAUUUCCAUGGUUUUAUUUCACUUUAAUCCCCAUGUGUUCUAGCCGUGUAGGUGUUCCCCUGUGUAUUAGCAUUGUAGUUUUCAUUAUUUUGUCAGUGUUAGAUCAUCUCACUGAAUUUUUGUGUGCUAGCUCUGUAGUGCUGAUGUAUUAGAGUGUAAGCACAUGAAUUACAGUGUAAUUUAGCCCAUAAUUAUAGUGUAUUAUACCCUCAGAAUUACAGGGUAAUUUAGCCCACAAUUUCAGUGUAAUGUCCAUGUUUCUUUUUGUAAUUGCAGUGUAGUUUACCCUAGAAUUGCAGUGUAAUUUAGCCUAGAAUCUUUUUGGUAUAAUCCCGGUGCUUCACUUUUGUAUUUACAGUGUAACUUUUACCAGAAUUACAGUGUAACCCUCAUGCUUCAUUAUGUAAGGGCAGUGUAAUCUUCCCCUAGAAUUACAGUGCAAUUUUUCCUAGAAUUUCAGUGUAAUUUCCAUGUUUAGCCUCUGUAUUUCUUGAUAUUUGAGCUUCAUUCUUGUUCAGAUUUGCUUGAAUAAUUACAGUGGAUUUUAUCUCUGACUAGUGUGAUUAUUCUAUGUAGUUCCUAGGUUAUUUUCAUUGGAAUUCCCUAGUGUGAUUAUUCAUUCCUUCACCGCCCCGUGUGUACUAGCACUGUAACAAGCUCUGGUUUGAAUUGUUUUUAUGCAUGCCUUCUUCUGAUAGGACUUGUGUUCUUUUAUGCUGAUAGGUUCGUCUCUGUAUUCAUGACUUCAUCUGAGUUUGCUUGUAUUUUCUGUACUUAUUCUUUUCAGCUUUUGCUUGAAUUAUAGUGGAUUAACUCUUUGAAUUACAAUGUAAUACCUCUUAAUUUAUUUGUAAUAUUCCCAAGACUUGCAGUGUAAUAUAUCACUGAAUUACAUUGUAAUAUACUCCAGAUUUAUGCUAUAAUAUCUCUCAAAAUUACAUUGUAAUUUAGCUCUGAAUUGUACACUGUAAAUUUCUGCGCUUUUUACACUGUAAUUCCUGUAAUUUUUCUUUGUUUGCCUCAGAGUUUCACUGUGUUAUGACUGAUUUUUACACUGUAAUUCGUCUAAUUCUCACACUAUAAUUCGUUUGAUUCUCACACUGUAAGUCUACCCCAGAGUUACAAUUUAUUCCCUUCGGUUUUGCCCUGUAAUUUUCAGCUUUCAUUUUGCACUGUAUUAUGAUUGGGAUGCAAGUUGAACGAGGGUCCUGGGAAUCGCCAGUUGUUUCCUGAUUUUGUUCUUUUUCUUUGUCAGGUGCUUUGUGGUCCAGGAAAGGGAAAAGGAGCGUGGGCGACAGGUUCAAGAGGGUUUUGUGAUAGUUGCAUGGUUUUGUUUUGGUUAAGUUAGAACUGGGUCAGAUUUUUAGCUGCCCGAUCUAUUUUUUUAGAAAUGCAAACAUAAAAUUGUUGAUGGUAUUGGGAUAUACAGGUGUCAACAUUUAUUUAUGAUCUGCCCAUUACCAUCUCCCCCGUGUGUGUCGUUUCCUUUUCCUUUUCUUCCUUUUGACACUUUCCUCAUUUCAUUUGGGUGGUACGUACUAUUUCCAAAGGGCAGAGGGGCAGAGGAGGUGCUCGAGCGGCGGAGGAGUCGAGGCGAUUCCAUCGGGUUCCUGGCGUUUCCGAGAUCCCUCUCUACUGGAGCUUGUUUCCUCUUCGAUUCCCUGCCUUCCUGGUUAGUUCUUCUUGUCUCUCUAUCUUCUCGCGUGCGAUUUGCCAUGGUUGUGGUCGUGUAACUUCCAGAUCUAGGUCUGGGGAUUGUUUGUAGUAGUGUGUUUGUGGGUUUGUGUUCGAGAUUUUGUUGCUGUUUGAGUAUUUAGCGGUUGGUUCUGCUUCGUGGCUCGUGUAGUUUCAUGUGGAUCCCAUGUGCUCACGUCAGUUGUUAAUAUUUGUGGAUCCCGUGUGCUCGCGCUGCUAGGUUUUGGGUGUUCUCGUUUUGAUCCUCUCGUUGUAACCGCGGUUUGGUUACUCGUUUAUAAUUUUUUUCGAUUGAUGUGUUGGUCCUCUGGUAGGGUUAGAGUUUGUGUUUUUUCCCGAGAUAGGCGUGUCUCUGUGUUGAGUCUUCUUGCACAUCCCCUGCAGUUGCAGCUACCAUCUGGUAGGGUCAGGUUUUAGGUAGCAGUGCUAAUUUGGGGUUGUAAUUGUUUAGACCUAGGCGUGCACUAUAAUUGUCUAGCUUUGCUUUGUAAUUCAUGCCUUUUGACUGUAGUAGCUUUACUCUGUAAUUUUCCUCAGUUUUGCACUGUACUCUGCAAUAACCAUGGCAAUUAUAGUGUAGUCAUUCUGUACUUUUCAUUGUAAUUUCACCGAAAGUAGUCUGUAAGUAAGUACACUGUAAUUUCCCUCAAUGUACUCUGUAAUAUUCAUGGUAAUUACACUGUAAUUUCCCUCAAUGUACUCUGUAAUCCAUGGUAAUUACGCUGUAAUUUCCCUCAAUGUGCACUGUAAUAUCCAUGGCAAUUACACUCUAAUUUCCCUCUAUGUACACUGUAAUUUCCAUAUAGUAUUUACACUGUAAUUUCCCUGAAUGCACACUGUAAUAUGCAUGGUAUUUACACUAUGAUUUCCCUAUAGUAUUUACACUUUUUUUGACAGAAAUAUAGUAUUUACACUGUAAUUUCCCUCAAUGUACAAUGUAAUAUGCAUGGUAUUUUCACUAUAAUAUGCCAGUGUAAUUUCCCUAAAGUAAACUGUAUAAUUGCUCUGUAAUUCAUGUGCUUUUUGCACUGUAAUCUCCCAUUUUCACUGUAAUUCCUGUGCUUUCUUGAUUGUAUGCCUUGAUUACUCUGUAAUUUAUGUCAGGUUUGCACUGUAAUUUCUUAUGUUUUUAGUGUAAUUUGCAUUAGUUUACACUGUAAUGUGCCCUAUUUG
rnacentral:lncRNA from 1 species